CUGACAUCGUCCAGGAGCCCUUCUUUGCCUGGGACGUCCCCAGUGUAAGCGACUCCUCUCUGGAUGAUGACAGCAGCAUCGGGUCAGGGGACUCUGUCCGAGCACUCCUGGAGAGGUACCCCCUAUCUCUUGGUUUGGAUCCUGAGGUUCAGGCAAACGGACAAGUGCCAAGGAGAGGCUGAAGUUAAUGAUGAGGAUGGCACCGGAUGUCUCCCCAACGG